rnacentral:sRNA from 1 species
AUUCCCUCGGCGGGCCGAGCCUCCCCUCUCUCCCGCCCCUCCUCCUCCCUUUCCCACCCCUCGGAGUGGAGCUGCACAUGCGGCUGCUCCCUGCUCCGUCCCGCCCAGCCACUGUCGCGCAGGAACGGGUCCCUGCAGCCCCCAGCCGAUGGCAGGACAGUAGCCGCCUGUCAGAGGUCGUGAACGGCUGAGGCAGACGCAGCGGCUCCCGGGCCUCAAGAGAGUGGGUGUCUCCGGAGGCCAUGGGCUACCCGGAGGUGGAGCGCAGGGAACUCCUGCCUGCAGCAGCGCCGCGGGAGCGAGGGAGCCAGGGCUGCGGGUGUGGCGGGGCCCCUGCCCGGGCGGGCGAAGGGAACAGCUGCCUGCUCUUCCUGGGUUUCUUUGGCCUCUCGCUGGCCCUCCACCUGCUGACGUUGUGCUGCUACCUAGAGUUGCGCUCGGAGUUGCGGCGGGAACGUGGAGCCGAGUCCCGCCUUGGCGGCUCGGGCACCCCUGGCACCUCUGGCACCCUAAGCAGCCUCGGUGGCCUCGACCCUGACAGCCCCAUCACCAGUCACCUUGGGCAGCCGUCACCUAAGCAGCAGCCAUUGGAACCGGGAGAAGCCGCACUCCACUCUGACUCCCAGGACGGGCACCAGCUCCAUGUUUCUUUUUCACUGAGAAAAAAGAAAGCAGGACACCAAUGAGUUGUGUCUUCCCUCUGUCCACUCUCAGCACCUUCACUCUGAAGAUCUGUUAAAAGCACACGAGUCGUCUCAGUCCCUCAGUGGGAGCUGUUUCACCUGGCGUCAUCUAGUCAGCCAUCUUCAAUAAUAACUGUUAAAUGAACAUUUAUAUCCACUGAAACCACUAAGUGAAAUAAAGAUGUGUUUAGGCAAAGAACUGAGUUUAUGACUUAUAGAUCCUCACCAAGGAAACUUCCAAAAGAUGUACUUCACAGAAGAAGAAAAUGAUCCCAGAAGGAAAAUUUGAGAUGUAAGACAGAAGAACAAGCAAAGAUUGUUUAAACAUAUGGCCCUAUUGAAUUUCUUCUUCCCUGAUGAAAAGCCAUACUCUGAAGAAGAAAGUAGGCGUGUUCGCCGCAAUAAAAGAAGCAAAAGCAAUGAAGGAGCAGAUGGUAAGUCUACUCAGUUGAUCCUUUAUCACUUCUGAAUUAUUUGUUAGUAAAAGUAUCCUUUUAAGAACUACCUUCUUGGUAGGGCAUGGUGGCUCACGCCUGUAAUCCUAGCACUUUGGGAGGCCCAGGCGGGCAGAUCACUUGAGGUGAGGAAUUCAAAACCAGCCUGGCCAAUAUGGUGAAACCCUGUCUCUACUAAAAAUACAAAAAAAAUUAGCCGGGCCUAGUCCCAGCUGCUUGGGAGACUGAGGCAGGAGAAUCGCUUGAAACUGGGAGGUAGAGGUUGCAGUGAGCUGAGACUGUGCCACUGCACUCCAGCCUGGGUGACAGUGUGAGACUCCAUCU